rnacentral:snRNA from 1 species
AGUUCAGUACAACCAUUGUGGU